UACACACCGCCCGUCACACCAUGGGAGUGGGUUGCACCAGAAGUAGUUAGGCUAACCGCAAGGAGGCCGAUUACCACGGUGUGGUUCAUGACUGGGGUG
rnacentral:rRNA from 1 species